rnacentral:rRNA from 1 species
ACACGUUGAUCCUGCGUGAGGAUGCUGCUAUUUGGUUUCGAUUUAGCCAUGCAAGUCAAGGGAGGCUUCGGCCGACCGGCGAAAUGCUUAGUAACACGUCAAUAAUCUGCCCUUAGAUGGGGGAUAGCCUUGAGAAAUUGAGAGUAAUACCCCAUAGGUAAUAUUUUCUGGAAUGAAAAAUUAUUCAAAGUUUUUCGUCUAAGGAUGAGUUGGCGCCGGAUUAGAUUGUUGGUGGGGUAACGGCCCACCAAGUCUACGAUCCGUACGGGCCCUGAGAGGGGUAGCCCGAAGAAGGGUACUGAGACACUGACCCUAGCCCUACGGGGUGCAGCAGGCGCGAAACCUUUACAAUGCACGAAAGUGUGAUAAGGGGAACCAAAGUGCUAUAGCUUUGCUAUGGCUUUUGCCAAGUGUAAAUAGCUUGGCGAAUAAGUGGUGGGCAAGACUGGUGCCAGCAGCCGCGGUAACACCAGCGCCACAAGUGGCAUCCACGUUUAUUGGGCCUAAAGCGUCCGUAGUCGGAAAUAUAAAUUCUUUGUGAAAUCCUUAUGCUCAACAUAAGGGAUUGCACUGAACACUGUAUUUCUUGAGACCGGGAGAAGUAUGAGGUAUUCCUGGGGGAGCGGUAAAAUGCUAUAAUCCUAGGCAGACCACCUGUUGCGAAGGCGUCAUACUAGAACGGAUCUGACGAUGAGGGACGAAAGCUAGGGGAGCGAUCCGGAUUAGAUACCCGAGUAGUCCUAGCCGUAAACUCUGCGAGCUAGGUAUUGCAUUUACUCCGAGUAAAUGCAGUAUCGAAGCGAAGGCGCUAAGCUCGCCGCCUGGGUAGUAUGGUCGCAAGGCUGAAACUUAAAGGAAUUGGCGGGGGAGCACUACAAGGGGUGCGGCGUGCAAUUUAAUCUAACUUUACGCAGAAAAUCUCACCAACAGCGACGGCAGGAUGAAGGUCAGAUCAAAGGUUUUACCUGACGAGCCGAGAGGUGCUGCAUGGCCGCCGUCAGCUCGUGCCGUAAGGUGUCCAGUUAAGUCUGUUAACGAGCGAGACCUGUGUCCACAGUUACUAACAUUUCCCUUCGGGGGAGAACGAGUACUUUGUGGAGACUGCCUCAGAAAUGAGGAGGAAGGUGCAGGCAACGGUAGGUCUGUAUGGCCCGAAUCUGUUGGGCUAUAUGCGCGCAACAAUGGUUGGCACAAAGGGCUGCAACACCGAAAGGUGGAGCUAAUCCUCCAAAUCCAAUCUUAGUACAGAUUGAGGGUUGUAAUUCACCCUCAUGACGCCGGAAUCCCUAGUAAACGGAAGUCACUAGCUCCCGUUGAAUAUGUCCCUGCUCCUUGCACACACCGCCCGUCAAAUCAACCGAGUCGGGUUUAGUUGAGGUCUGGGUUUUUGCCUAGCUCGAAACUAAAUUCAGCAAGGUGGGUUAAGUCGUCACAAGGUA